rnacentral:rRNA from 1 species
AUUGAACGCUGGCGGAAUGCUUUACACAUGCAAGUCGAGCGGCAGCGCGGCCUUCGGGCUGGCGGCGAGCGGCGAACGGGUGAGUAAUGCAUCGGAACAUGCCCAGUCGUGGGGGAUAACACUUCGAAAGAAGUGCUAAUACCGCAUACGUCCUGAGGGGGAAAGCGGGGGAUCGCAAGACCUCGCGCGAUUGGAGUGGCCGAUGUCAGAUUAGCUAGUUGGUGGGGUAAAGGCCUACCAAGGCGACGAUCUGUAGCUGGUCUGAGAGGAUGAUCAGCCACACUGGGACUGAGACACGGCCCAGACUCCUACGGGAGGCAGCAGUGGGGAAUUUUGGACAAUGGGAGCAACCCUGAUCCAGCCAUUCCGCGUGAGUGAAGAAGGCCUUCGGGUUGUAAAGCUCUUUCGGCAGGAACGAAACGGUGGGCUCUAACAUAGUCCGCUAAUGACGGUACCUGAAGAAGAAGCACCGGCUAACUACGUG